GACGAACGCUGGCGGCGUGCUUAACACAUGCAAGUCGAACGGAAAGGCCCUGCUUUUGUGGGGUGCUCGAGUGGCGAACGGGUGAGUAACACGUGAGUAACCUGCCCUUGACUUUGGGAUAACUUCAGGUAACUGGGGCUAAUACCGGAUAGGAGCUCCUGCUGCAUGGUGGGGGUUGGAAAGUUUCGGCGGUUGGGGAUGGACUCGCAGCUUAUCAGCUUGGUGGUGGGGUAGUGGCUUACCACGGCUUUGAGGGGUGGCCGGCCUGGCAGGGAGGGUGGUGACCUUGGGACUGAGAUACGGACUGGAGUCCUACGGGAGGCAGCAGUGGGAAAUGUCACACAAUGCGCGGAAGCCUCAUGCAGCGAUGCCGCGGUCGGUAGGUCUGCCUUUGGGGUGAAAACCAAUUUCGGUUGAGACGUUGCGGGAGGGACGUUACUGGGUGAAGAAGCACCGGCUAACUACGUG
rnacentral:rRNA from 1 species